rnacentral:rRNA from 1 species
AGUUCGAUCCUGGCUCAGAUUGAACGCUGGCGGGAUGUUUACCACAUGCAAGUCGAACAGCUUCAGCACGGACUUCGGUCUGGUGGCGAGUGGCGAACAGGUGGUGUGUAUCGGAACGUGCCUAGUAGCGGGGGAUAACUACGCGAAAGCGUAGCUAAUACCGCAUACGCCCUUCGGGGGAAAGCGGGGGGACCUUCGGGCCUCGCACUAUUAAGCAGCCGAUAUCGGAUUAGCUAGUUGGUGGGAGCUUGGCUCACCGGGCGACCCGAUCCGUAGCUGGUUUGAGAGGACGACCAACCACACUGGGACUGAGACACGGCCCAGACUCCUACGGGAGGCAGCAGUGGGGAAUUUUGGACAAUGGGGAAACCUGAUCCAGCCAUCCCGCGUGUGCGAUGAAGGCCUUCGGGUUGUAAGCACUUUUGGCAGGAAAAGAAACGGCACGGGAUAAUACGUGCAACUGACGGUACCUGCAGAAUAAGCACCGGCUAACUACGUGCCAGCAGCCGCGGUAAUACGUAGGGUGCAAGCGAUGUCAGAAUUACUGAGGCGUAAAGCGUGCGCAGGCGGUUCGGAAAAGAAAGAUGUGAAAUCCCAGAGCUUAACUUUGGAACUGCAUUUUUAACUACCGAGCUAGAGUGUGUCAGAGGGAGGUGGAAUUCCGCGUGUAGCAGUGAAAUGCGUAGAUAUGCGGAGGAACACCGAUGGCAGAAGGCAGCCUCCUGGGAUAACACUGACGCUCGUACACAGCGUGAGGGCAACAGGAUUAGAUACCCUGGUAGUCCACGCCUAAACGAUGUCAACUAGCUGUUGGGGCCUUCGGGCCUUGGUAGCGCAAUAACGCGUGAAGUUGACCGCCUGGGGAGUUACGGUCGCAAGAUUAAACUCAAGGAAUUGACCAGAGACCGCACGGCGGUGGAUGAUGUGGAUUAAUUCGAUACGCGCGAAAACCUUACCUACCUUGACAUGUCUGGAAUCCCGAGAAAUUUAGGAGUGCUCGCGAGAACCGGAACACAGGUGCGCGAAGCAAUAUUCGCUCGUGUCGUGAGAUGUUGGGUUAAGUCCGCAACGAGGCGCAACCCCUUGUCAUUGAUUUUCGAGAAGAGGUACUCGCCGGAACUUCAGUAUAAGCCGGAGGAAGGUGGGGAUGACAUUAGAGUCCUCCUUGGCCUUAUGAUGAGACUUCCCGUCACUGGCAGAUUAAGGACAAGUUACUCCAACCUGAGGAAUGUCAGAAACCCGAUCGUAGUCGGAUCGCAGUCUGCGCUCGACCUGCGUAGUCAGGAAUCGCUGAAAUCGCGGAUCAGCAUGUCGCGGUGAAUACGUUCAGGUCAUAUUUUACUGCCCAUCCUGGAAUUGGGUUUCGAAGUAGUUAGCCUAGCAAUAGGAGGACGGUACCACGAUGGGAUUCGCGACUGGGGUGAAGUCGUAACAAGGUAG